AUCCAGCUGACGAGUCCCAAAUAGGAAGAGACGUGCGUCAAACAGGAU
rnacentral:hammerhead_ribozyme from 1 species